rnacentral:lncRNA from 1 species
UUUUUUUUUCUUUUGUGUUCUUUAGUAUAUGCCAUCUAUUGGGAAUUUUAUUGUUGUUCUCUUUCCCUCUGCGUAUGUAGUUAGUAUCCUAUUAUGGGAAUUUAUUUUGUUGGUUUUGAUUUCUGCUUUUGAUUUUGGCUUUUUGGUUCUUUGAGUCAGAAGAUUGAUGGCCUUUUAUGGGCUAGUUUGAUUUAUAUUGGCAUUUGAUUAUACAUGAUUGGAAAAUGGUUUAAUAUGUAUAGAUUCUUCAAGACUAGAAACUUUAUCCUUGAUGUUUCAAGUUACUGAAUGAUGAACUUGGCUGUCUUGAAACUACAACCUACACAUGAGUGACCUUCGAUACCGUUAACAUGUUUUCGGUUAUCAGUUUAGUGUCUUCUCAUGUGAUCAUUGGUAGAAGCAAUUCCUUGNNNNNNNNNNNNNNNNNNNNNNNNNNNNNNNNNNNNNNNNNNNNNNNNNNNNNNNNNNNNNNNNNNNNNNNNNNNNNNNNNNNNNNNNNNNNNNNNNNNNNNNNNNNNNNNNNNNNNNNNNNNNNNNNNNNNNNNNNNNNNNNNNNNNNNNNNNNNNNNNNNNNNNNNNNNNNNNNNNNNNNNNNNNNNNNNNNNNNNNNNNNNNNNNNNNNNNNNNNNNNNNNNNNNNNNNNNNNNNNNNNNNNNNNNNNNNNNNNNNNNNNNNNNNNNNNNNNNNNNNNNNNNNNNNNNNNNNNNNNNNNNNNNNNNNNNNNNNNNNNNNNNNNNNNNNNNNNNNNNNNNNNNNNNNNNNNNNNNNNNNNNNNNNNNNNNNNNNNNNNNNNNNNNNNNNNNNNNNNNNNNNNNNNNNNNNNNNNNNNNNNNNNNNNNNNNNNNNNNNNNNNNNNNNNNNNNNNNNNNNNNNNNNNNNNNNNNNNNNNNNNNNNNNNNNNNNNNNNNNNGGAGUUUGUCCCAAUGUGCUCUAUGGAGAUUUGACCAUUUUGCACUCUUUCUUUUACAACUAGAAAUUUUAUGUCAAUAUGCUUUGACUUAGAUGAACUCCUGUUGUUAUUGGAAUACAGCACUGCUGACUUAUUGUCACAAAAUAAUUUGAGUGGUCUUUUUACAUUCUCCAAAAUGCACAGCCUUAUGACAAAGUUCCGCAACCAUAUUUCAUGGUUUGAUGCCUCAUAGCAUGCUACAAACUCUGCUGCCAUAGUGGACAAAGCUACAAGUGUCUGUUUGACACUUUUCCAAGAUAUAGCUCCUCCGGCUAACAGGUAAAUAUAGCCUGAUGUAGAUUUCCUACUAUCUUGGCAUCCAGCGAAAUCAGAAUCAGAAUACCCUAUGACCUCCAAAAGAUUUGAUCUCUUACAAGUAAUCAUGUAAUCUUUUGUUCUCUGAAGAUAUCUCAUAAUCCUUUUGGCUGCUAUCCAAUGGUCUAUACCAGGGUUGCUUAAAUAUCUUCCUAACAUCCUAACAAUGUACGCAAUGUCCGGACGCUUACAUACUUGAGCAUACAUUAAACUCCCAACAGCUGAUGCAUAGGGAAUCUUUUGCAUUUCAUGAAUUUCAAGGUUACUUUUAGGGCAUUGAGUAAGACUAAAUUUGUCUCCUUUAGCGACAGGGGUGUCACCUGGUCUACAAUUCUGCAUGCCAAACCUUUUGAGUACUUUAUCGAUAUAGCUCUUUUGUGAUAAUCCAAGAAUACCUCGAGAUCGAUCUCGAUGUAUCUGAAUUCCUAAAACAAAAGAGGCGUCCCCAAGAUCUUUCAUCUCAAAAUGCUUGGAUAAAAAUCUCUUGGUUUCGUGCAAUAAGCCUAUAUCAUUAGUGGCAAGCAAAAUGUCAUCAACAUAUAGAACCAGAAAUAUGUACUUACUCCCAUUGAAUUUGUGAUACACACAAUCAUCAACAAUAUUCAUUUCAAAACCGAACGAAAUAAUUAUUUGAUGAAACUUGUGGUACGGGAAGCUUGUUUGAGUCCAUAGAUGAAUUUUGUCAAUUUGCAAACCAUAUUCUUUGAGUCUUUCGACUCAAAAAUUUUUGGUUGCACCAUAUAAAUUGUUUCUUCAAUGUCACCAUUAAGAAACGUAGUCUUAACAUCCAUCUGAUGUAACUCAAGAUCAAAAUGAGUAACAAGUGACAUGAUUAUCCUAAAGGAGUCUUUCGAUGAAACUGGAGAGAAGGUCUCUGUAAAAUCAAUGCCUUCUUUCUGAGUAUAUCCUUUAGCUACAAGACGUGCCUUAUACCUUUCCACAUUACCAUUUGCAUCCCUCUUGGUUUUAAAUAAUCAUUUACAACCAAUUGGUUUUGCACCUUCAGGUAAUGGGACAAGUUCCCAAACUUUAUUGUCUUCCAUAGAUUUAUACUCAUCUUUCAUGGCAUCAAUCCACUUUUGAGAAUUAGAACUUUUCAUGGCCUGAUGAAAGUUGAUUAGAUCAUCUUCCAUCAUUCCAUUAUCAUCCUCAUGUUCUUGGAGAAAUACAAUAUAAUCAUCUGGAAUAGCAUUUCUCCUUUCUUUUGUGGACCUUCUUAAUGGCACUUGUUCUUGAGGUUGUUGAGUUUGUUCUUCUGGAACAAUUACCUCAUUUUGAAUGGGGAGUUGUUCAACAUUGUCUUGUAGAGGUUCUAGAUUCACUUCUUGAUCAAUGAUAGGUAUAAGAACCUGAACAUCAUCAAAAGUGAUAGUAGAAAUUGAGUUAAAAUCCAAUUCUUCCUCAAAAGCAAUGUCUCUAACCUUAUUUCUCCCCCCAAACUCAACAUCCUCAAAAAAUGUUGCAAUUCCUGUCUCAAAAAUAUUCUUUAUUAUGGGAUCAUAAAAUUUAUAGCCCUUAGAUCGCUCAGAAUAGCCAAUAAAGUAGCUGCUUAUUGUUUUGGAGUCCAAUUUCUUUUCAUGAGGCCUAUAAGGCCUUGCCUCAGCUGGACAUCCCCAAAUGUGAAAGUGCUUUAGACUAGGCUUUUGACCUGUCCAAAGCUCAUAAGGUGUUUUUGCAACUACUUUAUUGGGUACUCUAUUCAGAAUGUAAGCUGCUGUCUUUAAUGCUUCUCCCCAAAGGGAAUCAGGUAAGGUAGAAUGAGCAAUCAUGCUCCUUACCAUAUCCUUAAGAGUUCUGUUUCGUCUUUCAGCUACACCAUUCAUACUAGGUGAUCCUGGCAUGGUGUACUGUGGGACAAUACCACAUUCCUCUAGGAAUUUCGCAAAUGGUCCUGGACAUUGUUCACUUGAGCCAUCAUAUCUACCGUAGUACUCACCACCACGAUCAGAUCUAACGUUUUUAAUCCUUUUGUUGAGUUGAUUCUCAACUUCAGCUUUAUAAGUUUUGAACACGUCCAAAGAUUGAGAUUUCUCAUGAAUGAGAUAUAGGUACCCAUAACGUGAGUAAUCGUCUAUAAAUGUUAUGAAAUAUUGUUGACCAUUCCAUGAUGCCGUAGGGAAUGGCCCACAAAUAUCUGUAUGAAUUAAUUCUAAGACAUCUGAAGAUCUGUUGGCACCCAAUCUCUUGGUUUUGGUCUGUUUUCCCUUGAUGCAAUCGACACAAACAUCAAAGUUUGUGAAGUCAAGGGACUUUAAAAUACCAUCAGACACAAGGCGUUCAAUUCUAACUUUUGAGAUAUGACCUAAGCGCCUAUGCCAUAAUGAUGCUGAAUUUUCCUUAUUUAAUUUGCGUUUAAUACCCCGUGAUUCCACAUGCAAGGUUUCAUUAUAGGAUACAACUGUUUCUAGCAAAUAAAGGUUGUCAUAAGUAUUUAAAUAACCAGUUCCAAUAACAUUUGAAUUUAAAGACAAAUUAAAUUGAUUGUUUCCGAAUGAACAAUAAUAUCCAAAUUUGUCCAACGAAGAAACAGAAACUAAAUUCCGUCUAAAUGACGGUACAACAAAAGUGUCUUUUAAAUCCAAAUAAAAACCAGUUCCUAAUAACAACCUAAAAUGCCCAAUUGCUUCCACUUCUACUGAUUUUCCAUCGCCCACAAAGAUAUGUCUUUCACUAUCACUUGGCUUUUGGUAACUCAGGCAACCCUUUCUUUACACGCCAAGCAUGAUAUUUGGUAUAAUCUUUCUUUACAUGUCCAGACUUAUUACAAAAGAAACAACUCUCUGUAGCUUGUUGUUUCUUUUGGGCUAGACCCUUAGCAGCUUCAUUUUGAUAUUUUCUUUUCUUGCCCUUGUCCUUGGGGGCAUUGGCCAUAUGAGCACUUUCAGACUUAUCACGCUUCAACCUUUCUUCGUCUUGCACACAAUGAGAAAUGAGCUCAUUUAGGGUCCAUUUCACCUUUUGACAGUUAUAACUAAUUUUAAAUUGGUUAAACUGUGCAGGAAGCGAUACCAAAACCAUAAGAACAAGCAAUUCCUUAGAAAGCUCGAUCUUAAGUGCCUUAAGUCUUGAAGCAGUAUGGAACAUCUCCAUAAUGUACUCCCUUACGUUUCCUUGACCUUUAUACUUCAUAGACAUCAAAGAAGUCAGAAGUGAUGUCAUCUCAACCUUAUCGUUUUUAGCAAAACGUUUCUCAAUUUCAUCAAGGAAACCUUUGGCCUGAGUAAUCUCUUCAGAUUCUGUGCCCCUAAAGGCUUCUGGAAUGCUGUGUUUCAUGAUCAUUAGACUCAUGCGAUUUGAACAAUCCCACCUUUCAAAGUCCCUCUUAAUAUCAGGGGUGCUUUCCGCAGUGAGAGGUGCAGGUUGUUCUUCCCUUAGUGUAAGGUCUAUGUCCAUACAGCCAAGCACUAUAAGUAAGUGCAUUUUCCAUUUCUUAAAAUUAGUUCCAUUAAGCAUGGGUAUAGAAUUUAUAUUAGUAGAUAUUGUAGCAGCAGAAGAUGAAUUAGCUGAAUAGAGAACAAAAACAAGCUUAAAUCAAUAUUCAUAAGUAAACAAUAAAUUCAAUAUAAUGGCUAAUCCCAUCUCAAGAUACCAAACACUACAUUAAUAUCAAGUCUUUGGACAGUAAUAUUAAUAGUUUACAGUACUCUUGUUGUAGCAAUCAAACAUUGACAAUAAAUUAUGUCAAGCAAUGAAUUAAUCUUUGGACUAACUUAUUGCUUACAUAAAAUACCUUAUAAUUAUCACACAUUUAUCACCACAGAUGUCGUUGUAAUUCUGCCAAAUAUUAACUUACCUUUGGGUCAAUCAAUAAAUGCAUGAAUCACAAAAACAUAUAACCAUCUUAAUAUUUUAAAUAAACUAAUCUACACAAAAGAGGUCACUUUGGCGGCAUUUUGUUUCAACUAAUUUAUUUAAAAUAUUAGAUAUCCUUAAUUAAAAGCCAAAAUUUGAAUUUAUUUGUUCCAAAAUAUUUACCUUAAUUUCAUCUUUCAAUCAAAUUAAAAGAUAAAACAUAAAUAUAUAUUUAUAUUAUUUUCCAAAACAUUAAACCAAUCAAAGCAUGCAUAUUUUAUAUAUUUAUAUAAACAAACAAAGCAUAGAUAUGAAUCAAUUUCUAUAUAUAUAUAUAUAUUAAAUGUCAUAUGGAUUAAAAUAACAAUAAUCACAUGCCUUGCAAAUACACAAGAACUGAAUCGCAAUAUUUUCAAAUAAAACUUAAAAACGUAGGUAUCAAAUAAUAUUACCCAAUUUUAAUAUGAAAAUCACCCAAAAUUUUUUUUAAUAUGAAUUCAAGAUAAAAAAAAACUUUAAUAUAAAUCUUCAAAAAACAACAUAUAUAUCCGAAAUAUAAAACCCAUGAAAUUUCAUGAAUCAAUUAUUCAAAUGAAUAACUUGAAUCAAUUCCCAAUGAUUCGAUAUGACGAGGCUCGGAUGCCACUUGUUAGAAUUUAUAAAAUAAAUCUACAAUAUAACUUAAUAAACCAGGAUCUGUCAUGUCAAAUCAUUAAGAAUAAAUCAAGAACAAAACUAGAUGCGGAAGCGUACUUGAAUCCAUGGAUUCCUUGAAACUUUCUAGAACUUGGGGAUUUGAUCUUCCAAAUUAGCACACAAGAAACUUAGAGAAUAUCUGCUCUUUCUUUCCUAAUGAUGGGAUAUUAGAAAAGAUAUCUUUUGUAUAAUUUGGGGACCAUAACCCUAAUAUUUAUAACCUUAGCAUAUUAGUUCUAAUCAAAUUCUAAUUAGCCCAUCAUUAAUUAGAAUUUGAUUAAAAGAGUAUCUACACAUAUUUGACCUAUACUUUAUUUAUUUAAUAAUUAAAAUCCCAAUAAAAUUCUAACCAAAUUAGAUCACUUUUAAUUUGGGCUAACCUAUCAUGAUAGUAAAUAAUAACAUGUAAUUAUCCUUAUUAUAUAUGUGAUGUCCAAAUUUUCUAACAUAAAUCUCAUAUUUUAGAUAAGUAAAGGGAUGACCAAUAUGACAGUUCUAAGAGAUUCCUCAUAUUUCUUCAACUUAUCAUCAUCUCCAAGUUUGUUAAACAAAUCAAAAGAUGGAGCACAAAUUUUAUUAGCUUGAGAAGUGGAAGAUGAAGAUAUGAUAUUGUUCUUAGCAUGCUGUUGAAUUUGACCUUUGAGCAUAAAUCCAUGUACAAUUUUCUUGAUCUUUUAAUGCCUCAAUAGCUCCAAUGCAACUCAUGGUUUUAAUCCUUUUUGCUAUACUUUUCAUAUCAAAUGGCUGUUUUUUUCUUAAGCAAAUGGUAAUGGUAGAUAUGAGGUUCUUAUAUAGUGACUUUAUGGGGGGAAACCAAAGAUGGUAUUCAAAUAAAAGAAAUGGUUUUAAUUGUAUCCUACAAUAGAGACAAUGAUAGUAAAGAAAUGAACAAAAUCACCAAAGAUAAGGUUUUGGAUGGUUUGUUUUUGGUUCCUUUGGAUUUGGGGGAUGAAUCCUUCACUAUUUACAUCCAAUUUAUUGGUUUCUAUUACAUCUUUCCAUGAAAAAUUGAAAUCCUAAUGUGACUUGAGAAGUGGAUUGGCUUGUUCUCUAUUUAUGUUUAAAUUCUUCCCAUGUUUUUUUUGUUUUUGGGAUUUGAAGUUUUAAACUCCCUUUGUUUGCCAGUAAAAUCUUUGUUUUUAGGCUCCGAAAAAUAAUUUACUUUUCUGAUAUUUGGAUGAAUCUAUGUAAAAUAUUUUUUAUUUUUUGACAGAUUUCUUAAAAAUAUUUUCCAAAAAAACUAUUUUUAAAUAUAUUAAUAAAUUCAUGUUUUAAAUUAUUUUUACAUAUAUUACAAUGAUUUAUUUAUAAAUAAAUACAAAUGUUUUGCUACAAGUACAUUAGUGAAAAUUGAAAAUAGUGAUCAACCCCUUAAAGGGUUGAAACAGGCCAAAACUCAACAGAUACCUAAUUUAGUAUUCACAUAAAUCAUAGCAAUUGUAUCAAAUUCGGAGAAAUGUAGUGAUUGCAUUUUGAUGGAGCAACAAAAUCAUUUAAUGACAUUAACUGGCAAUGGUCACAUUGACCAACAAAAGUGUUGAACAAGACUAACAAAAUUUCAGCUCAAAAGAUAAAAACCAAUCAUAACUGGCAUCAUUAACGCCAUAUCUCAUGUCAUUCAUGCAUCACAGCAUCCUUAUCGUCAAAAUAAUUCCCAAAAGUGUAGGAAUUGAUCAAAUUCACUAAGAUAACAAUAACCAAUUCCUCUAGAUUUCAAAUCCAAAUUUCUUAUAGAAGUUGAUGCAUCUUCGUUGUUUGUCUGAACAUGCAAGUAGAUUUCCGGUAUGUUUUGCUUCGAACAGAGAUAAAGAACAUGGUUCAAUAGCCUUGUACUUGCAUAAAUUAAAGAUUUUUAACGAACUAUGGCUUCUAUUCAGAAUCAAUGAGAACAUAAUUUUUCAGCAAAAACAUGCUGAGGCAGUUUAGUUACACUCUACAUUUCUUCAUCGUUGACCUCAUUGCAAUUUGCAAAAGACAACCAUUAUUGUGCCACUGAACAUGGGCAGAUAUUUUAAGAGCACAAGUGAAACCAGAAGUGAUCCGAUUCAAAUUAGAGGUAUUGAUAAUGUUAAAGGACAAUACUAAGAUCAUCCAAUUAGCAAUUAGUUUCUUGCAUGACCUAUUCCAAGGAAAUGUUGUUUGUCUACUCACCAAUUCCUAGCCCACGAUAUGGUGCUAAAACACCCAAUGUCAUGAUGCACACACGGAUGGCCACACCUUCCUUCUUUUGCAGCCGGCAAGCAAUUGAUCCGACACAGAUGUCACUGUAAUAUGCUGAGUUAGAAUGCAAAAGAGUGAUUGUUAGAACAAAAUACUAAUUUUUGGAUAACACAGGCUAUUCUCCAACUUACUCUCAUCAGGUCUCAACUCAUGUAAUAGCUAUGUAUAACAAUCACAUCAUCUGUUACGUGAAUAUGCAUGCAUCACCACAAACAAUUUAUUCCGAGCCAACAAAUUGAAUAAAAAAUAAUUAAUUAUAGCUUUCUAAUCAUCAAUGUGUAACAUAGUAAUUGAUAUCAUAUGAUGAAGCCACUAUGACAGGGACAUUACAAACAUGCUCUGCACAUUCAUAAGAUCAUAGAGUUAAAAGAGGAUAGAGUUGCUCCAAACUUCAAUUGAGUGUAUUUCUUAGAGCAUGACUUGAGGAUUAAGGAGAAAAUAAAACAAAUAUGCAGUUACCAAGACAGAAGGAAACGAUAAGAUAACUUCUCUCCAAGAAGUAACAGGUUUUGAAAUUUCUACAGUUUCUGUGAAAAGAUGUAGACCAUCAAGCUCAAUAGGUGCCCUUCAAUGCAAGGCAGCAAAUUUCAGAAUCAGGAAGUCUUUAGCCAGGGUUUUUAUGACUCUAAAGUUCGCCAGAAAACUUCAGGGAUAGCUACUACUACCCGCUAUUUAACAGUGUAAAAGCAAUGCAGGAUAAGGAAGGAUGUAUUAACGUUACACAAUAUGCAGAAGAUCAUGGAAGAAAAGGUGACUGGACCAACUAAGAUUGGUAACAUAAAUAUUCGAGUGUAAGGCAGCACAAGCACAACAGCAGAAGCAAAGAGUGUUUUUGAGGCAUGUUUUCAUGAGGAUGACUGGUGACACGCAUUUUUAGAAUUUAAUAAGCCCAGAAUAUUGACCAUUGAGACCAAAACACAAUAAAUAGAGCAAGCAAUUCAAUAUAGGUCGGGUUAUCUAACCUAAACUAUCUAAUCCAACAAGGAAUUGCUUCUACCAAUGAUCACAUGAGAAGACACUAAACUGAUAACCGAAAACAUGUUAACGGUAUCGAAGGUCACUCAUGUGUAGGUUGUAGUUUCAAGACAGCCAAGUUCAUCAUUCAGUAACUUGAAACAUCAAGGAUAAAGUUUCUAGUCUUGGAGAAUCUAUACAUAUUAAACCAUUUUCCAAUCAUGUAUAAUCAAAUGCCAAUAUAAAUCAAACUAGCCCAUAAAAGGCCAUCAAUCUUCCGACUCAAAGAACCAAAAAGCCAAAAUCAAGCGCAGAAAUCAAAACCAACAAAAUAAAUUCCCAUAAUAGGAUACUAACUACAUACCCAGAGGGAAAGAGAACAACAAUAAAAUUCCCAAUAGAUGGCAUAUACUAAAGAACACAAAAGAAAAGAAAAAAACCAGUGCAAAGAAAAUGCCAAACAACAUUGGACCAACCAAAAAGAGUUCAACAACUUUAAAAAGAAAAAAAAAUGAAAACCCAGAAAAAGAUUAGGAAAAACGGAGCAAACCAAGCUUGGUGAAUUCGCCAGAAGCGAGAGCAUCGGCGUAGUACUUAUCGUUGUAACGAACAGGGAAGAGAGCUGUGUUGAGCUUCUUCAGCUGCAUCACGUUCUUGUCCCUCACUCCAUCAAGUGAUAUUGCUACUUCUCGCCCAGCCCCCAUUUCUUAACUCCUUUGCGAUCUAUUGGUCCAAUAAAACAAAAGAUUUGCAGAGGGGAUAUAAUAAUGGUGUGGUGAGGGAUUGUACAGACAGACUUAGAUUUCUUGUAUGUGACAAAAGAGGAAGGGUAGGUUGGCUUUUCAAUUUACAGCGACGGUGGAGGGAUUCGCUACUCAUGGAACUUGGGGUUUCUCGUUUCCCUGAGAAAGACCCAGCGAAGUGGAACCUCGAUUUUCCUGAGAAAGAAGAGAGCAAACGAAACAGCAGCCUGAGAAGAGAAGAUAUGCGAGGGUAAGAAGAUGAAGAACAAAAGAAGAAGGAAUGAAGAAGAAUGAGAUGGACUGAUGAAGAAGGAGACGGAAAAUGAUUUCAGGACCAAGAAAAUAAAAACACAGUGCAAAAGCGUGGACGGCAGGAUUCGAACCUGCGCGGGCAGAGCCCACAUGAUUUCUAGUCAUGCCCGAUAACCACUCCGGCACGUCCACUGAUUUUGUUGGUUUUUGUCAUUGUUUACUUAAUAUUGUAUUCUUUUGCAUACCACCACAACGUACAUUCAUUCUCUUUUUGAAUUUAAAAACAACCAUCUCAUUUAUCAUAAAUAUUUAAAAAUUCAUUUUUAAGAUUAUCUAAAAAUAAAAAUAUUACCAUCUCUUAAUUUUUUUAUAAAUUGGAAAUAAAAAAUCUUUUUUUUUGGUUUUAACUCUCAAUAUUUUGCUCUUCCUUUUAUAACUUUAGUUAUUUCAGUGUCAUGGUUGAACUGAUGAAGGCAGUCCAAAGCAACAAAGGUUUACAAUUUGUUGGCUACUGUAUACAUUUGGUUUCCAUAAAUCUUGAGUCGAGUCGAGUUGAGUAGAAUUUUAAAAUUUUCGAAUAUUUUUUGGGGUCAUUUGUAUUUUAGGUUUACGUUUUCAAGUUAGGUCACUAUAAGUUUUAGUUAUUAUGUGUUUGAAGUGUUCCAAUUUUUGGUCUGUUAAAAUACGUCCGUCUCUGUACUCAGACAAAAUUUGAAAUUUAAUCUUUGUACUUAAAAAUAUCAAAAUUAGAUUUUCUUAAUUUUUUUAUUUAAAAAUUUCAGUUUAGUCAUUAAUGUUAUUAGUAUUUUCCAUCAAAAUUUGCUAACUUGGUAUGUUAAUUAAACUAUCCUCAUAUGACACUGCAUAUGAUUGACAAAAAAUAAACAUAUUAAGUUGAAAAAUUUUGACAGAAAUUACAAACUACGAUAAUAAUUAUGAUUAGAAUUUUUAAAUUGAAAAAAAGGUAGGAUUAAAAUUUUAAAUUUUAUAGUGCAUGUGAAUAAAUCUCAAAUUUUAGAUAAGUAAAUGGAUGACCAACAUGACAGUUCUAAGAGAUUCCUCAUAUUUCUUCAACUUAUCAUCAUCUCCAAGUUUGUUAAAGAAAUCAGAAGAUGGAGCACAAAUUUUAUUAGCUUGAGAAGUGGAAGAUAAAGAUAUGAUAUUGCUCUUAGCAUGCUGUUGAAUUUGACCUUUGAGCAUAAAUCCAUGUACAAAUUCCUUGAUCUUUCAAUGCCUCAAUAGCUCCAAUGCAACUCAUGGUUUUAAUCGUUUUUGCUAUACUUUUUAGAUCAAAUGGCUAUUUUUUCUUAAGUAAAUGGUAAUGGUGGAUAUGAGGUUCUUAUAUAGUGACUUUAUGGGGAGGGGGAAAACUAGAGAUGGUAUUCAAAUAAAAAAAAUGGUUUUAAUUGUAUACUACAAUAGAGACAAUGAUAGUAAAGAAAUGAACAAAAUCACCAAAGAUAAGAUUUUGGGAUGGUUUGUUUUUGGUUCCUUUGGAUUUAGGGGAUGAACCCUUCACUAUGUACAUCCAAUUUAUUGGUUUCUAUUACAUAUUUCCAUGAAAAAUUGAAAUCCUAAUGUGACUUGAGAAGUGGAUUGGCUUGUUCUCCAUUUAUGUUCAAAUUCUUCCCAUGUUUUUUUGUUUUUGGGAUUUGAAGUUUUAGGUUCCAUUUGUUUGCCAGUAAAAUGUUUGUUUUUAGGCUCCAGAAAAUGAUUUCUGAAAAAUGAUUUACUUUUUUAGUGUUUGGAUGAAUCUGUGUAAAAUAUUUUUUAUUUUUUGGCAGAUUUCCUGAAAAUAUUUUCCGAAAAAGCUGUUUUUACAUGUAUUAAUAAAUUUAUAUAUAUAUUAAUAAAUUUAUAUUUUAAAUUAUUUUUACAUAUAUUGCAAUGAUUUAUUUAUAUAUAAAUAAAUCAAAUUAUUAUACAAAUGUUUUGCUACAAGUACAUUAGUGAAAAUUGAAAAUAGUGAUCAACCCCUUAAAGGGUUGAAACAGGCCAAAACUCAACAGAUGCCGAAUAUCUUCCAAUACCUAAUUUAAUAUUCACAUAAACCAUACCAAUUGUAUCAAAUUCGGAGAAUUGUAGUGAUUGUAUUUUGCUGGAGCAACAAAAUCAUUUAAUGACAUUAACCGACAAUGGUCACAUUGACCAACGAAAGUGUUGAACAAGACUAACAAAAUUUCAGCUCAAAAGAUAAAAACCAAUCAUAGUUGGCAUCAUUAACGCCAUAUCUCAUGUCAUUCAUGCAUCACAGCAUCCUUAUCGUCAAAAUAAUUCCCAGAAGUAUAGGAAUUGAUCAAAUUCACUAAGAUAGCUGUAAGAGGCUAAUUUUGUACUGGGCUCCCCAAAAUAAUAACCGAAUCAAUAAAGCCAAAGGAUACAAUCGGUCGAAAACGAGCUAAAAAGGGCCAAAUUGAAAGACAAUCAUUAAAUUUUAGUCAAAUUAAAAAGAUGGAGAAAGCUAAGGAGUUCAAAUUUUGUUGACUUGGUAAAAGGUUAAAAAUAGGAAUAUAUGAUUUUUUUGUUGUUUUUAUUUUAUUUUAUUUUAUUUAGGCUAUUUUUAGUAAACUCCGUGUAUAUAAAUAGGGGUAUUUUGUUCUUUGAAAGGGGACUUGGAUGAAGACUUUUGUCUUCCUACUUCAAUUUGAAAUUGGAUUAUUCUCUCUUUUCCUAUCUCCAUUGGAAUUGAAUUAUUUUCUUUUCUCUUUUAAUUACGUGGGAAUUUUGUCAAUUUCAUCUCAAUUUAUUUGUUUUUUUCUAAAUUCGUCCAAUUGUUUUUAGCCCUUCCCUUUUUUUAUUGUUUUGCAAUUAAGUUUUCAUUUUUUUGCCCUAAAAUUUGUUUUGACUGCAUUUUGGUCCUGCUUGAGGUUGUGCGUUUUGGAGGGUGGGGAUUAUUUCCCUUUUGGUCCCUCCUUGUUAUUCGCAUGUUCAAAUUGGUCCAUUUCAUUUUAUUUAUUUUUUAUUUGCCCCAAAAUUUUGCUUUAAGGUUCGAGUUAAUCUUUUUUUUUCGUUAUUUUAUUAUCAAAUUAACUAAUUUAAUAUAUUAUUGCUAUUAUUAUUAUGUUUCUAUUUAUAUUUAUUUUGUUAUUCUAAUACUAUUAUUAUUUAUCUAAUUUUUAUUUAUCUAUUUAUAUUUCUACUAUUAUUAUAUUUCUAUUUAUUAUAUUUUUAUUUCUAUUUAUAUACUAAUAUUAUUUUCAUUAUUAUUUUUCUUAUAUAUGUUUUUACUUUUUUUUAUUACAUUUUAUUUAUUUAUUUAUUUAUUUAUAUUUUUAUUAUCUAUUUAAACUUUUUAUAUAACGCUCAUUUCAAAUUUUUAUACAUUAUUUACUUUAAUAUUUUCACAUAUUAUGUACUUCAAACUUUUUUUUUACACAUUAUAUAUUUUGAAUUGUUUAUAUAUUUUCAUAUACAUUAUGUAUUUAUUUGUUAUUUGUGAUUCAUUAUUAUAACAUUUUGUUUAUGAAUUAUUACUUUGCGUUGUACAUUAUUAUUCCAUCGCAUUUUAUUCGUUUAAAAGGUCGUGUUUUAAUAUCGUUUAAGUUUUAAAAUCAUUUUAUUCAAAAGUUUUCAAAAUAAGGCAAUACUCAGUAUUUGGCAUCUUUGAGAAGAUUAUGCCCUAACUUGUUGGGUUCCAAUUUUCCUCGUUAAAUCUAAGUAACCGAGUACCCCUUUUUCAAUCAAAAGGCAUAAGUUUCAAAUACAAGCUUAUUCUCAGGAAUUCGAGGUGUUGUGUCCUAACUCACUGGAUAUGACAUUUUGUAUCUCAAGAUAAGGAUUUCUAAAAAUUAAAGGCAAUGUUCUAUGUUUGGAAAUCCGAGAAAUCGUGCCCUAACGUGUUGGGUUUCGAUUUUUCGUUGGACCAAAUAAUCCAAUAUCCUUUUGUAAUUUUCAAAUGUAUGAGCUUUUGAAAAUCAAGAAUUGAUCGUGGUUUCGAAGGUUUAAAGAAUCAUGUCCUAACGUGCUGGAUGUGAUAUUAUAUUCCUUCGAAACAAGAGCAUUUUAAUGUUCAAUUUGAGUUUUUCAAAUGCUUUAAAAGAAAUUGUAUUUCAAUUUUUUUUUAAAAAAACUUUAGACAAUAUGACAUUAAUUAAUCAAUUGGUACCAAUUUUGGGCAUUACGAGGGUGCUAACCCUUCCUCGUGUGUAACCGACUCCCGAACCCUUUUUUUUCUCAAAUUUUGUAGACCCAAAAUCAUUGUUUUAAUAAAUCAAAAUGUUUUAUUAAAAUGACCAAUCUCAAGGUGAUCCGAUCACACCUCAAAAAAAGAUCGGUGGCGACUCCAUUUUUGUUUUUAAGUCGACUCCUGUUUUUCAACAAAAAAAAUGGUAUCGAUAGCUUGGCGACUCCACUGGGGACCAAUAAGAGAGUUAAGCCGUAAAAUUGAUUAUUUUCUAUCCUUUUGUCAAAAAUUGAAAUUUUGAUUUGAAAAUCAUGAUUCUUUUAUUACAUUUGUUUAUGAUCCCUAUGUUUGCUAGAAUAUUUUUGCAUUGCAUUGCAUGACCGUUGUGGUUACACCUUUUAAGUGGGAGUGAGAAACUAUGCCUUCGUGAGGUUUUCUCCUCCGCAUAGGCUAGUGGACUGCUUCCGGGAUACAUCCGUACCUAUUUCUUCGUGAGGUUUUCACCUCCGCAUAGCCAUAGAGAAAUGUAUUCCCCUGAACUGAACUCGAUCCACAUGAGCCUAUAAUAGGUGAGGAUUGAGGAAUCUGCUAGUUCAGGUAUCCUGUCUUUAGAAUCAAACCGUAUUUAGCAAGCCUUAAGAGUCCACCCUAGGUAGAACUGUACCCGAAAUCUAGUGGUCACCCGAAUAAGUGCUUUAUUUGUUAUUUAUUUAUUUUGUACUAACGUGUUUGCUUUUGUUUUGUUUAUAACUGCAUUGCAUUACAUCAUCAUAGAAAGGAAGUGUUGAUUCAUAUUCGAUUAUUAAAUAGAACAGUUUGUCAUGGGAAAAUGGAUUUCUUAAUAAAGUGGAUUAUAAUACGGUUGUUUGAAUACGGACCAAGUAAGCACAACGAAAGAAGGCUGAUAGUUCGCGAAGGAAAACAAGACUUUGUUUUAUUGCUUGAGGAUUCAAGCUGAUAAAGAUUAUUUGAGAGCUGUCACAUCCCAACUUUCUUAAAGGAGUUAACAAGCAUCACGAGGAUAAGUGAGUAAUAAGUCGCGUCCCGAAUCAAGCAAAAAGGAGCUAGUGGAGGCAUCUAUUAGAAUUUUGCGAGAUUUGACUUUUACGAAGAAAAGGGGUCGAUGUCUUUGCUUGAAAUAUAAGGGCAAGGCUGCAUAUGUAAUCCGUUUUAUGUAAAGGAAUUUGUUUUCUAGAAAAGUUGUUCUAAUAGAAUUGAAUUCAGAAUCAACGCCCACAUUUCUUUUGCUUUCAUCACAUGCAUUUGCAUUGCAUUGCAUCAUUUGCAUUAGAUUUCCACAAAGGACCCUAAUUAAUUGAAAUCAUUUCAGUUAAUCUGGAAACUGAUAAAAACUUACCAACCAAGUGUCGUUAUGGUAUCCGUACUAAGACAAAAGAUAUGGACCAAAGAUUGGAAAGACUUAAACAAUUUCAAAAAAAGAUGCAAGACCAGUUACAAAUACAAAUGCAAGAGCAAUUGACAAAGAUUCGGCAAGAUAUGAGAGGCCAAAUGCUAGAGUCUCAAAGGAAUAUAAUGAAUCCGUUGUCCCAAUUACUGACUAAGGGGCUAGAAAAAGGAAAAAGCUCCAUGAUUAAUUCUGGGGAGGACAACAAGGGGCCUCUCUACCCUCCCGGUUUCACCCUGACAAGUGCUCAGACAUCUCCACAAGGUGUACCUAUCCAGAAAUAUCAGGCCGAUACCUCAGCACCAGUGGAUUACCUAAUAGGCUCAGGCUCCAAUCCGGGGGGCAAUCUAAUCAUUCAUGUAGUUCCUGAUCUAGACAAAAUGGAAAAAUCAAAGAGGGAACUCCCAAAGCAACUGAAAGACUGGUACAAAUGGCUGGAGGAAAAGUUCAAGGCGAUGGAAAAUGCUGAUGAUUAUCGUGGAAUUGACUUCAGGGACCUGAGCUUGGUUCCGAACUUAAUACUUCCCGACAAGUUUAAAAUGUCUGAAUUUGAAAAGUAUAACGGGACUAGUUGUCCUGAAGCUCAUAUCACCAUCUUUUGCAGACAAAUGACUGUGUAUGUCAAUAAUAACCAAUUAUUGAUUCACUGUUUCCAAGAAAUUCUGGUUGGGACAGCAUCCAAAUGGUACAACCAAUUGAGCCGUACCUAGAUCAAUUCAUGGAAGGAUUUAGCACAGGCCUUCAUGAAGUAGUAUGGUCAUGUGACGGAUAUGACUCCUGAUAGGAUCACUUUACAGAGUAUGAAAAAGAAACUGAAUGAGAGUUUCUGGCAAUACGCCCAAAGGUGGAGGGAAACUGCCAUACAAGUUCAGCUACCUCUCUUAGAAAAAGAGACUACCAUACUUUUCAUCAAUACUCUGAAAGCCCCGUUCAUUAACCAUAUGUUGGGAAGCACUACCCUGAGCUUUUCAGAUAUAGUAAUGUCUGGUGAGAUGAUUGAAAACACGGUAAGGAGUGAGAAGAUAAAUGCGGGAAAGAGCGCUAAAAGGUCAACCCCGAGAAACAAGGAAAAUGAAGCGAACAUCGUGAGCAUGUCUUCCAAAUUGGUUAACGUAGGCCAGCCGAGGGCUGUAACCACUAGCUAUCAAUACUCUUCAAGAUAGUAAUCCAACUUGAGGCCAAAUACAGAAAGGUUCAGAUUUACACCCAUCCUGAUAUCAUAUAAGGAGUUGUAUCAAAAUCUUUUUUAUGUGCAUGUGGUGUCUCCGUUCUACUCGAAACUCGUGCAACCUCCAUUCCCAAAAUGGUAUAAUGAGAAUGCUUAAUGUGAGUACCACGCAGGAAUAACAGGACACUUAAUCGAAAACUGCACUACAUUUAAAAAGUUAGUCGAAAAAUUUAUUGAAAUGGGAAUUGUGAAGUUUGAUGAUUCCCCAGAACCUAAUUAUUCUGGCAAUGAAGUGAAUGGGAUAUUUGAAAGUGGGGACAAAAGAGUUGCGAUGACGUGAACAAGUCAAAAGCCUGAAAGGAAUAUCAGGGAAUCUAAAUGACAUAUCCGAAGAGAGAAUCGAGGAAUAAAAUUUUCCAUAUCCUUGCAUACUUGGGAAUGUUUUGAACAAUGAGACUGUGGAAGAGAUCUUUGUAUUUUUAGAGCUAAUCUAGAGUAAUAUUUAAAACACGCUUGUUGCUUUAAGCCUAGAGGCAAUAAAAAUCUUUUUGUGACAUAGGCUUGUGUCCAGAAUUUUUAUUUCAAUAAAAUGCAUCUUUUUGAGCAAAUAUUCUUUCAUUUUUUUUCCAUUUCAUAGUAUACAUUAUUUUGUUAUUUGGACUGUCUUUUAAAUAUUAUUUUAUUAUUCAUUCAUGAUCAUAUCAUACAAAUAAUCAUCCUUAGAAUCAUUUAUUCUUUGGAAAUAUGCCUUUGUACCUACAAUAGGUCCCAAGAUAUCAACGACAUGAGCAACGCUGUAACUGACUGCCUUUUAGGGUGAGAUAUGUGUUUAAGCAGAUCUCAAGACUUUGAAGAUGACAGAGAUUGUAACCUAUGUCCUGAUUUUUUUAAGGAUGGUAGAACAUUAUGAAAAAUAGAUCCUACUCUACAAAGGGUCAGUAGACAUUGUGAGCAAGAGGUAAAGAUCGGAGCCUACAUUGCCACGAAGACAAAGCGAAUCAUCAUUGAGUUACUCCAAGAUUUCAAAGAUGAUUUCGUAUAAUCAUGUCCGGAUAUGCCCGGGAUAUUAAGACCUAUAGAUGCUAAUGUCUAUACGGUCUUAGAAGGAUACAUGUUAAUAGUUUCACGGUAGCCACAUUAAUCAUGAGGUUUGGGUACUAUUGAUCCACCAUAUAGGGGGAUUAUAUCAGUUAGGUAAUAUUUAGGGAGACAAGAUUCAUGUGCCUCAUUCAUUUCUUCAUAGACUUUCUCUACCAGGGGGCAUGGAUGUUAUCAGACCAUUAUUGUCUAAUCGAUUCAUCUUGGUGGUCGUCAAUAACUUCACAAAGAGGGUGAAGGUCACUUCAUAUGCCAGUAUUAAAAGGUUAAUAGUCAUUCAAAUCCAAAAAAAGAGAGGGAAAGAUCAGGUGCCGACAUGUAAUAUCAGAAAAGAUCAUGUCUAAUACAACUGCACAAUGUCAAAAGUUUACAGUCUAUUCAAAGAUCAGACACCAUAUCACAGUGCAACGAAGGCAGCCAAAAAGAAAGAAGCAAAAAAGAUUGUGGAAGGUGACCCAGACUUGUAAAGAUUGAUAUAAAGAAGUUACCGUUUACCCUAUAUACUUAUCAAACGUCAGCUAAGACCUUCAUCCGGGCAAUUUCUUUCUCAUUAGUUUAUGGAAUAGAAGAGUUUUGUCCAUUAUUUCUUUUCUCCGAGUCUUGCCAGAACUAAAGGUUGGAUGAGGUAGAAUGGAUCCAAUCCCGAUAUAAUCGGUUGAAUUUGAAGGAUAUCUGUCACAAUCAGAUGAUGCGGGAUUAUGACAAAUGGGGUUCAUCCUAGAGAAUUGGAGACCUGGCAUUAAAGAAGAUCUUUUCUAUACAAAAGGACUUUAGAGGAAAGUUGAUGUCAAAUUGGGAAGGACCUUAUGUAGUAAAGAAGGCCUGUUCUAGAGGAGUAUUAAUCUUGAUAGAGAUGGAUAGCAAGGACCUUCCCAAUCCAAUGAACUCAGAUUUAGUCACAGUUAAUAGUUUCAAAAAAAAGAACACAAAAAAUAAAAGAAAAAGAAACAAGUGAGGUAAAGGCGAAAACCCGUAAAGAGCACCUUGAGACCAAAUGAGAUUUGAGUUGAAAACCUGAAAAGGGUGGCUUAAAUUUGGAUCAAAAUGGGGCAUACAAUAGUCUUUUUAUGUUUGAAUUAACAAUGAAGAAGUAUGCUACGUCUUGGGGCAUCGAAAAAAUAUUUCGGAUUCUCUAAACACAAAUUGAGCUCAAAAUGGUCCUCAAGAAGUUGGUACAGAGAAGCUCAGGCUGUGAUAUCUAGGGCACUUAGUUUUCGUCUUACCCAUUUUGAAUUUGCUAUCCUUUGACUACUUUAUUCGUUUCAAAAUGCACUUGCAAUAAAUUUCCUUUUUAAUUGCAUUUGCUAUCAUUGAUUAACUUAUUUGUUUCGAGCUAUGCUCUCGAUUAAUUUCCUUCUUGUCCAUUGUUAUGAUUUUUUUCAAGCAUUUUACAUUGAAAUAACGAUUAGUGGACUAAUAGUACUUUCAUUAAAGGAGUUCCGCAUAUUACUCUAGAAGUUUCUAAAUAAUAUAAGAAUCUGAAACAAGACUAUUGUUUAGAACUCGCCAAGCUUAAGGGUUGGAAAUAUUAGAGAAAGAUGAUCAUCUCUUUGGAACUUUUAUUGUUUGAACAAGACAUUUCGUCAGUGAUACAACCUCGACAAAUAACGAGCAAGUCAACCCAAGUGUAAAAGGGGAUCAUUCUUGGGAAAAGAAAAAUGAUACUCUGCAUUCAUGCAAAUAUCAGACAUAUAUAUCUGAUCAUUACACCCAGGGAAUGGUGUAACAGAUUAAGUUGAUUGAAGAUGAUACAACUCCUAUACCUCUGAGUUGCAGCAGAAUGGAUGGAAAAAAUGAAAUGUUAUUCCUCUGAAGUUGCAGUGAGAGGUACAAAUUUUAUAUCUCAGAAGGUACAGUGAAAUAGACCCUAAAGUUGCAAUAGGGCAAACCAGUUGAGCAAAAAAGAUUGUUUCUGCGGGUUUUCUGUCAGAAAAUACCACCCGAGUAAAAAUGAUGUGAGCUUGCCUACGAACCAAAUGGAGAACGAACAAGAAGCCAUUAAGCUGCCCAUUGGUCCAAUAACGCGAGCUAGAGCUAAACGAUUCAAAGAUGCUAUUUUAGCAAUGGUGGAACGGGUUGAGGAAAAUGAUAGCAAGGAGUUUAAAAACGAGCUGAACAUAUUCAACUUCUUUGAAGCUGAAUUUCGUUCUAGCUAAUUAAUUUGCUGCUGGAAUUUUAGACCAUUUAAAUAAGCAUUUAAAUAAGUUUCAUUACAGCUUUUAAAUAUGUCUUAAUUUAUUACAAGUGUUUAAUAUGUUGAUUUGGUUGAAUUAAAGGUGUCUAGAUGUCAUUUAAUUUGUUUGAAUAUAUUACAUGAAUUAACUAUGUUCAGCCGAAUUAAUGUGUCUUGUUUAGUACAUAUUUAAUUCGGCUUAAUGUUAAUUAGUAUGUUCAUAUUAUGUUUUAAAUUAAUUCAGCUGAAUUGAGUUAAAUUAAUGAGGUUCAUUUGUUUUAUUUAGGUUCAGCUGAAUGUGGAAGAUGCAUGGGAAAGGUUGGCCGAAUGUGGUGUGCAAGAUGCAUGCAUGUUGGAUUCAAUGCACCUAAUGAUACAUGCAUGAACUACAUUAAAAUGGUGUGCUGAUUAUUGAAGUUCUCUAAGUGACCAUUCGGCUAAAGAGAUAGUUUUUCAAGCUGCCAUUAUUUCCUUCACAUUUCUAGAUACAUUUUGGCCAUUCAGUUCUUGGUGUUCACAUUUUAAGGCUCUUCAAAACCGUCCAUUCACACCUAAUGUGGCUGUUCAAGUGCCCUCUUUAUUAUUGAUAAUUUUUCAGCAAGAGUUGCCUAUUGAAUGAUCAUUUAAGCUCAUCAGCUGAAUGUAGUUGUUACAUGCAUUCCCAAGAUUCAUUUGCUUAAUAUGGAAGCUUCAUGUAUGGUCACUAUUCAGCCGAACCUACAUUGGCCAUUUUUGUUCAAUGUUUGCUUAGAAACUAAGUCUAGAAUAUGUCCAUUCGGCUACUAGGCAUUAGGCUAUAAAUAGUUACUCAUUUUCUUGUAAAAGGACUUUUGACAAAUUUCUGAAUGAAAUAUCAUUUUAGUGAGGCAAUUCACUCUCUUUAUUCUCCAAAGCUCAAAUUGACUUAUCUUCAACAAGUGGCGUCAAUCUGACUUUGUUUCGAACUUAUCACCAUUGGUGUGGCGUUCUUCAUACCGUAGGUUCCUAUUUUGCUAAAUAGAGGGUCUCGGUUUUAUCCCAAAUCCUUUCUUUCUUUGAAACCUUAAGCCUCCGGUCCUUAUUUGCUAAUAAGGGUUCGACUUGUUUUCAUUGAAAUAUCCAGCAAACAACACUCCAUCAAACUCCCUUGUUUCCCAAAGCCAUUUAAUUUUAAACACCAAGACUUGAAUUUAUUUCAAGGCCGACACUACCUAAUUUCGAUCGGGAAAUAUUACGACUCGUUAUUUCAUACGAAACGAGCUCGUAUCAAAAAAGGCAGCAUAAUACGACAGUGAUAAAACUCUGAUGAAUAACGAGUGAUGACACUUUAAACUUUUAAAAAAAGGAAUCAUUCUCAUGACAUUUCUACAUUCAUAUCAUUCAUAGCACAUUUGGUUAGGAGCAUCUGAUUUAUUUUGAUCAUAGUAUCCAAAUCAUUUGGCAUAAACAUAGGCAUAUGGAACCGAGUCUAUAGGGUAUGUUCCCUAGAGGACAGUGUAGCGACAUCGGUGAAUUUAAGUUUUAUCUUCUUAAGGUAGCAAGGAAGCAGACUAGAAAUUACAGAUCUUAUCUCCAUGUAUCGACUAUGGAGCAGAUCAAAAAUGGAGAAUCUUGUCUCCAUGUAUCAGCUAUGGAGCAGAUCUUAGCCACUGGUCUUAUCUCUCUGAGGUAGUAGGAGAGUAGGUUGAAGAUACGAGCCUUAAUCUCUUAAGCAGUAGGAUAAUAGGCUGAAAAUUACAAAUCUUAUCUCCAUGUAUCGGCUAUGGAGCAGAUCGAAAAUCAUGAGUCUUAUCUCCAUGUAUCGACUAUGGAGCAGAUUUUAGCCACCAGCAUUAUCUCUCUAAUGUAGCAAGAGAGCAGGUUGAAGAUACAAGUCUUAUCUUCCUGAGGUAGCAAGGAAGCAGACUAAAAAUUACAGAUCUUAUCUCCAUGUAUCGACUAUGGAGCAGAUAAAAAAUGGUGAGUCUUAUCUCCAUGUAUCGGCUAUGGAGCAGAUUUUAGCCACUGGCCUUAUCUCUAUGAGGUAGCAGGAGAGCAGGUUAAAGACACCGACUUUAUCUUCCUGAGGUAGCAAGGAAGCAGACUGAAAAUUACAGAUCUUAUUUCCAUGUAUCAGCUAUGGAGUAGAUCGAAAAUGGUGAGUCUUAUCUCCAUGUAUCAGCUAUGGAGCAGAUUUUAGCCAACAGCCUUAUCUCUCUUAGGUAGCAAGAGAGCAGGUUGAAGAUACAAGUCUUAUCUUCUUAAGGUAGGAAGGAAGCAGACUGAAAGUUAUAGAUCUUAUCUCCAUGUAUUGGCUAUGUAGCAGAUCGAAAAUGGCGAGUCUUAUCUCCAUGUAUCGACUAUAGAGCAGAUUUUAGCCACCAGCCCUAUCUCUCUGAGGUAGCAAGAGGGCAGGUUGAAGACACCGGCUUUAUCUUCUUAAGGUAGCAAGGAAGCAGACUGAAAAUUACAGAUAUUAUCUCCAUGUAUCGGCUAUGGAGCAGAUUGAAAAUGGCGAGUCUUAUCUCCAUGUAUCGACUAUGGAGCAGAUUUUAGCCACCGACGUUAUCUCUCUGAGGUAGCAAGAGAGCCGGUGGAAGAUACAAGUCUUAUCUUCCUGAGGUAGCAAGGAAGUAGACUGAAAAUUACAGAUCUUAUCUCUAUGUAUCAGCUAUGGAACAGAUUUUAGCCACCUGCNNNNNNNNNNNNNNNNNNNNNNNNNNNNNNNNNNNNNNNNNNNNNNNNNNNNNNNNNNNNNNNNNNNNNNNNNNNNNNNNNNNNNNNNNNNNNNNNNNNNNNNNNNNNNNNNNNNNNNNNNNNNNNNNNNNNNNNNNNNNNNNNNNNNNNNNNNNNNNNNNNNNNNNNNNNNNNNNNNNNNNNNNNNNNNNNNNNNNNNNNNNNNNNNNNNNNNNNNNNNNNNNNNNNNNNNNNNNNNNNNNNNNNNNNNNNNNNNNNNNNNNNNNNNNNNNNNNNNNNNNNNNNNNNNNNNNNNNNNNNNNNNNNNNNNNNNNNNNNNNNNNNNNNNNNNNNNNNNNNNNNNNNNNNNNNNNNNNNNNNNNNNNNNNNNNNNNNNNNNNNNNNNNNNNNNNNNNNNNNNNNNNNNNNNNNNNNNNNNNNNNNNNNNNNNNNNNNNNNNNNNNNNNNNNNNNNNNNNNNNNNNNNNNNNNNNNNNNNNNNNNNNNNNNNNNNNNNNNNNNAAGUUCCUAAAACACAGCGAGUAUAGCAUUGUAGAACAUUUACACAAACAACCAGCGCGCAUAUCGGUGCUAGCUCUGCUCUUAAAUUCGGAGGUAUAUCGUAAUGCAUUGAUGAAUGUGUUGAACGAAACUUAUGUCACUGAUGACAUUUCGGUAAACAAGCUAGACCGUCUUAUCAUCAACAUAAGUGCCGACAAUUUCAUUUCUUUCAGUGAUGAUGAGAUACCGUCUGGGGGCAUGGGAUCCACCAAAGCUCUGCACAUCACCACUCGCUGCAAGGGGUAUACAUUACCGGGGGUACUAAUUGAUAAUGGAUCAGCAUUGAAUGUCUUGCCCCUAUCCACAUUGAAUAGGUUGCCAAUAGACAGUUCUCAUAUGAAGUCAUGCCAAAACAUAGUGAGAGCAUUUGAUGGCACCAAAAGGAAGGUAAUGGGAAGGAUUAAAGUGCCUCUUCUGAUCGGACCGAACACAUACGAGGUAGAUUUCCUAGUCAUGGAUAUCAAGCCUUCUUAUAAUUGCCUAUUGGGGAGGCAAUGGAUUCACUUAGUAGGGCCAAUACAAUCAUCAUUACACUAAAAGCUAAAGUUGGUGGCAAAGGGCCGACUAGUAACGAUAAACGCAGAAGAUGACAUUAUUGCAUGCGUCACUAGUGAUACGCCAUAUAUAGAAAAUAAUAAUGAGGCAACAGAGUGUUUAUUUCGAUCAUUAGAGUUUGUAAACGCAACUUUCAUCAUUGAAAGGGGCAGGGUCCCGAUGCAAAAAUAUCUGAGGCUAUGAGAAUAAGCUUGCAACUAACAGUGGGAAAAUGAGCAUUGCUUGGAAGGGGACUCGGAAAGUAUCUUCUUAGACGAGUUGAGGUGCCGAUUUUGGUUGAUAAACAGGAUCGCUUUGGCUUAGGGUAUAAGCCAGAUGCGAAGCAAAAGAGAAGGGAGAUGGAAAAGAGGCAAUAGAGACGAAGAGCCCGAUUGAGUGGGGUAAGGGUCAAAUGGGAGCCGAUGACUUUUCCCCAUAUUUCCAAUACAUUUGUGUCAGGAGGAAUUAUCUAUCCUGAGCCGAAGAUGACAGGAGAAGGAACGACUGAAGAUUUGAUGGAAAGUCUGAACAUCAACAUCAUAUCUAAAGAGAAUGUGAUGGAAGGAGACCUAGCAAGCAUUUGCCCUUAUGAGCUUUGAAGUGUUCUGAACAACUGGACUGUGGAAGAAAUUCUUGUAGUUUUUAGAGCUAAUACAGAGUAAUGUUAAAAACACACUUGUUUUUUAAAGCCUAGAAACAAUAAUAAUCUUUUGUGAAAUAGGCUCGUGUUCAAAACAUUUUUAUGUCAAUAUAAAUACUCCUUUAUAUCUUAUUCCGAGUAAAUAUUCUUUUACUUUAAGCAAAUAUUCUUUUAUUGCAUUUUAUAUUUAAUCAUGCCAUACAAAUACGCUAUUAUUAGAUUCUUUUAUUUUUCUUGGCUAUACUUUCAUGCCAACAAUAGGUCUCUAGAUAUCAAUGACAUGAGUGACGCUGUUAUAGACUCAGAGUUCCCUUUUGAGCGAGACAUGUGUCUGGAAGGAUCUCACGAUUUUGAAUAUGAUGAAGACUAUAGCUUACCUUCAGAUUUGUUAAGGAUGGUAGAGCAGGAAGAGAAACAGAUUUUACCCCAAAAUGAGACAGUCGAGAAUGUGACCUUAGAAUAAGGGAAUGAUGUGAACAUUGGAACUUGCAUAACUGAGGAAACAAGGCGGGACCUCAUUGAAUUACUGCAAGAGUUCAAAGAUAUCUUCGCGUGGUCGUAUCAGGACAUGCCUGGGUUAAGCGCUGAUAUUGCGGUGCAUCGCGUCCCCAUAAAGGAAGAGUGCAAGCCUGUUCAAUAAAAGCUUCGAAGGAUGAGACCCAAUGUUGCAGUAAAAAUAAGAUAAGAGGUCCGGAAGCAAUUUGAUGCUAGGUUAUUGCAAGUUGUUAAUUACUCAGAAUAGGUAACCAACGUUGUCCCCGUCCCUAAGAAAGAUAGAAAAGUACGGAUGUGCGUAGAUUACAGGAACUUAAACAAGGCUAGCCCAAAGGACAACUUCCCACUACAUCACAUCGACACUUUGGUGGACAACACAACAUGUUACUCACUGUUCUCUUUCAUGGAUGGUUUCUCUAGGUACAAUCAGAUAAAGAUUCAUCCUGAAGACAUAGAAAAAACCACAUUCAUAACCUUAUGGGGGACUUUCUGCUAUAUGGUGAUGUCAUUCGGGUUGAAGAAUGCAAAGAGCCAUAGUAACCUUGUUUCACGACAUGUUGCACAAGGAAAUUGAGGUCUACGUCGACGAUAUGAUCGUAAAAUCCCAAAUAGAAAAGGAGCAUAUACAAGUUUUGCGGAAAUUGUUCCUGAGGUUUAGGAAGUUUCAGCUAAAGCUCAAUCCAACAAAAUGUACUUUCGGAGCUAGGUCAAGAAAAUUGCUAGGUUUUAUAGUCAGCGAAAUGGGAAUUGAGGUCGACCCCGACAAAGUAAAGACUAUAUAAAUAUUGCCUCCACCGCGCACUCAUAAGGAAGUUUGAGGUUUCCUGGGAAGACUAAAUUACAUCGCCGAUUCAUUUCAUAACUGACUGAGAAAUGUGACCCCAUAUUUCGCCUUCUCAAGAAACACAACCCAGGUGUGUGAGAUGAUGAGUGCCAGAAAACCUUUGACAAGGUUAAACAAUAUUUGUCCAAUUCUCCAGUGCUAAUACCACAUAAUCCUGGUAAGCCAUUGAUAUUAUAUUUGACAGUAUUUGACAAUUCAAUGGGAUGUGUACUCGGUCAACACGAUGAAACGGGAAAGAAAGAAAGGACGAUAUAUUACCUCAGUAAGAAAUUCACUGAGUGUGAAAUGAGAUACUCGUCAAUUGAGAAAUUAUGUUGUGCCUUAGUUUGGACCACUUGGAGAUUGAGGCAGUACAUGUUAUACCACACGACUUGGUUAAUCUCAAAACUGGACCCUCUAAAAUAUAUGAUGGAGUCAACUGAUUUGAGUGGAAGCUUGGCCCGAUGGCAAAUUCUGCUUUCUGAAUUCGACAUAGUUUAUGUGAACCAGAAGGCUGUGAAAGGGAGUGCAAUAGCAGAUUUUCUAGCUAGUAGAGCUUUAGAAGAUUACGAGCCUUUAAAUUUUGAUUUCCCUAAUGAAGAUCUAAUGUAUGUGGCAACUACUGAAGAAGACAUUCCAGAAGAUCAUCAUUGGAAACUGAAUUUUGAUUGGGCGUCAAACGCUGUUGGUAAUGGGAUUGGGGCAGUCUUGAUAUCCCUAAAUGGAGAUCAUUUUCUAUUCACUUGUAAAUUGGAUUUUGAUUACACAAACAAUAUGGCAGAAUAUGAAGCAUGUAUCAUGGGAAUCCGUGCAGCCAUCGAACGGAAAAUCAAAGUACUGGAGAUAUAUGGGGAUUCUGCGCUAGUAAUCUAUCAGCUUAAGGGUGAAUGGGAAACAAGGGACCCAAAUUUGAUUAACUAUCGAGAGCUAGUUCUGGAUUUAAUUAGGGUGUUUUAUGAUAUCACUUUCUAUUAUCUCCCGCGAAAUGAAAACCAAACGGAUGACGCCUUGGCUACGUUAGCUUCUUUGAUCAAAGUAAAUAAGCAGGAGGACAUGAAGCCGAUCCAGAUGAGUAUUUGUAAGGCUCUAGCUCAUUGAUGCAAUAUUAAUGAAGAAGAGGAGAGAGACGAUUGUCUUGGUAUCAUGAUAUUCUACGAUAUGUGAAGAAUUGUGAAUACCCUGAUCAGGCAACAAAAAAUGAUAAGAGAAUGCAAAUGUCUCUCUCCAAUCUCCAUAUCCUAAACCAUAAAAGUAGAAAAUAAGAAAACAAUUCAAUCCUUGAUUGGACACAACAUUUUUUGACUUUUUUUUAUGGACAAUUACAUAUCUCGAAAUGAGUAUAAAUUAUUUAAUUAAUUUAAUUAAAUUAAAAUUUUUGUUGAUUUUUUUUUCCAAUUUAUAAAAAAGAUUAAGAGAUGGUAAUAUUUUUAUUUUUAGAUAAUCUUAAAAAUGAAUUUUUAAAUAUUUAUGAUAAAUGAGAUGGUUGUUUUUAAAUUCAAAAAGAGAAUGAAAUGUAGGUUGUGGUGGUAUGCAAAAGAAUACUAUAUUAAAUAAACAAUGACGGUACCCAUCAAAAUCAGUGGACGUGCCGGAGUGGUUAUCGGGCAUGACUAGAAAUCAUGUGGGCUCUGCCCGCGCAGGUUCGAAUCCUGCCGUUCACGCUUUUGUACUGUAUUUUUAUAUUCUUGGUCCUGAAAUCAUUUUCCAUCUCAUUCUUCUUCAUUCCUUCUCCUUCUUUUGUUCUUCAUCUUCUUACUCUCGCAUAUCUUCUCUUCUCAGGCUGCUGUUUCGUUUGCUCUCUUCUUUCUCAGGCAAAUCGAGGUUCCACUUCGCUGGGUCUUUCUCAGGGAAACGAGAAACCCCAAGUUCUAUGAGUAGCGAAUCCCUCCAUUGUCGCUGUAAAUUGAAAAGCCAACCUCUACCCUUCCUCUUUUGUCACAUACAAGAAAUCUAAGUCUGUCUGUACAAUCCCUCACCACACCAUUAUUACAUCCCCUCUGCAAAUCUUUUGUUUUAUUAGACCAAAUAGAUCGCAAAGGAGUUAAGUAAUGGGGGCUGGGCGAGAAGUACCAAUAUCACUUGAUGGAGUGAGGGGCAAGAACGUGAUGCAGCUGAAGAAGCUCAACACAGCUCUCUUCCCUGUUCGUUACAACGAUAAGUACUACGCCGAUGCUCUCGCUUCUGGGGAAUUCACCAAGCUUGGUUUGCUCCGUUUUUCCUAAUCUUUUUCUGGGUUUUCAUUUUUUUUUUCUUUUUAAAGUUGUUGAACUCUUUUUGGUUGGUCCAAUGUUGUUUGGCAUUUUCUUUGCACUGUUUUUUUUUUUCUUUUGUGUUCUUUAGUAUAUGCCAUCUAUUGGGAAUUUUAUUGUUGUUCUCUUUCCCUCUGCCUAUGUAGUUAGUAUCCUAUUAUGGGAAUUUAUUUUGUUGGUUUUGAUUUCUGCGUUUGAUUUUGGCUUUUUGGUUCUUUGAGUCGGAAGAUUGAUGGCCUUUUAUGGGCUAGUUUGAUUUAUAUUGGCAUUUGAUUAUACAUGAUUGGAAAAUGGUUUAAUAUGUAUAGAUUCUCCAAGACUAGAAACUUUAUCCUUGAUGUUUCAAGUUACUGAAUGACCUACACAUGAGUGACCUUCGAUACCGUUAACAUGUUUUCGGUUAUCAGUUUAGUGUCUUCUCAUGUGAUCAUUGGUAGAAGCAAUUCCUUGUUGGAUUAGAUAGUUUAGGUUAGAUAACCCGACCUAUAUUGAAUUGCUUGAUCUAUUUAUUGUGUUUUGGUUUCAAUGGUCAAUAUUCUGGGCUUAUUAAACUCUAAAAAUGCAUGUCACCAGUCAUCCUCAUGAAAACA